GAAGGUUUUAGAACUGCCAUGCCAGGAGAGGAGUAAAGACCAGAACUCAGAGGUACGAUUUCUCGCUGAACACAGAGAUCACGAUUGAUUUGAAUGGCUGGUCAAAGAACUUCAAGGAUUCAUUUCCCUCCCAAUGGGAGUUCCUAGUACCAGAAGAGCUGGAGAGAGUGUCAUCAUUGGGUUGUGAACUUCUCCAGGACAGACCAUGAGACAAGUCCUCUGAACAAUAAGGGGGUCUAUGCAUGUCAUAGAAGAAGCUAUGCAGAACUGCUGGGACCCAUGCGUUCUAAAAUGAAGUUUCUUUCUUUGUUUAUUUUUAUUUUUUAAUCUUAUAUCACAUCAUACCUGUCUGUAACAAAGAAGUCUGUCAUCUACUUCAAGUGUUCUUUGUCUAGGAAACAGGGAGAGUUGUGCACCCACAAAAUAUGUAACAAGAUGGAACAAUGAUAAAUGGUAAACAAGAUGUUCUAAGCAUUCUCUCCCCCCCACGCCCCCCCCCCACACACACAUAGACCUGCAGGAACUUAAAAGAGAAGCUUUUCUGAAUUGUAAAGGAAACUUCCUAAAUUGUUAAAGGAAACUUCCUAAAUGGUGGAUCUCCAA
rnacentral:lncRNA from 1 species